rnacentral:rRNA from 1 species
UACGGGGGGAGCAAGCGUUGUUCGGAUUUACUGGGCGUAAAGGGCGCGUAGGCGGCCAGCACAAGUCAGUUGUGAAAUCCCCGAGCUUAACUCGGAAAGGUCAACUGAUACUGUGCGGCUAGAGUGCGGAAGGGGCAACUGGAAUUCUUGGUGUAGCGGUGAAAUGCGUAGAUAUCAAGAGGAACACCUGCGGCGAAGGCGGGUUGCUGGGCCGACACUGACGCUGAGGCGCGAAAGCCAGGGGAGCAAACGGG